rnacentral:misc_RNA from 1 species
UGACUUUGUCAUUGAUGAUUGAUAACAUUGAUUUUGAGUUACAUGCUUGUGGGGUUAGGGUACCUUUCUGCUGAUUAUUAACAUGCCUAAUGUUAAAAAACUCUCUGCAAUCACAUGAGGAUUUAUGGGAUUUUAGGCCUGGUUGGUUGUAAUGGAACUCGGACAGAUAAAUUUGUGUGAUUUAACAAGUGUAUUGAAACUCCAGUAAAAAUA